AAACUAUCAAGAAGAGGUGAGGGAACUGGCCCGCUGAACCUCUAGCAACCUGUCAAAAGCGAUAAGGUGCUCUCCAGCCCGGCAGGGAACGAUAGGCC
rnacentral:ncRNA from 2 species